GCUAGUUCUGUAGCAAGUCAAAGGAUUUGAUCUUCCAAAUCCAGAGUGGUUCCUGAACUAGUAAGAAAUCCAGAGAGCCAGGAAUAGCACAGGACUGAAGGAUUGAGAGUUGCAAGGGACCAUAGGGACUGAUCUUGUCCAACUCUCUCAAUUUUUAUAGUUAAGAAAAUUUAUGUUCAGAGGCAAGGUGGUUUAUACCUGGUGACAUAAACAGUAAGCAGCUGAGCUGGGAUUUCAACUCAGGUUCUGACUUUAUAUCUAGUGCUUUUUUAAAAACUUCCAACAGAAGCAUUCGCUGGCCCAAGGAGCUGACAAUUGUCCCUACUCCAUUAAGUGGCUCACUUUGCUCUGCUCCCAGAAUCUCAGAGGAAGAAAGGAACCUUGGAAACCACCUCCAAUUCUUACCUGAACAAGACUCUGCUCUCUCACAUCCCUAACAAGUGGUCAACCAGCCAAGGCUAGAGCCAAGCUCAGAGACCCACAGAGAAGGAGAAUGCACCUUCCUGAGACAGCUCAAGAUCAUGAGUGCCUUUCUUUGUAUUCUUAGAACUUACCACAGUGCCUGGAACACAGAUCCCAUGGAGUAUCCCCUUCUCUGUGCUUCUGGACUUGAAAGAGAAACUGGCAGGCUCAGCCAGAGGCCUCAUAUAGACUUAUCACAAAUACCAGGCUUUUUAGUAGUUUUUGCAAAACUCUACUAAUAUGCUGGCAACAGAAAAACUUGGAAAAACUUACAUGAACUGAUGCAUAAUGAAGUGAACAGAACCC
rnacentral:lncRNA from 1 species